rnacentral:miRNA from 1 species
AAAAGCAUCUAGUUAAAUUUGAAUUUCAGAAAAAAAAGAAUAUAUAUUUUUUAGCAUAAGUAUGUCUCAUGCAACAUUUGAGACAUACUUAUACUAAAAAAUUAUUUGUUUAUCUGAAAUACAAAUUUAACUGGAUGUCCUGUAUUUU